rnacentral:lncRNA from 1 species
CUACUGCAGAGGUUGUAUCCGCUAUGGAAGGGGCAGCCAGUGGAUUGCUGUCUUCAAGCCUGACUUAGCCAUCAUGACAAACAUAAUCCAAUGACACCUGAAGGGCUGCAUUUGCAUUAGAGUUUCUGGAGAAGAGAAAAUUCUACUUGCCUAUGACUUUGAAUAAUAACAGGGUCUUUACUACCCAGAAAAGUUCUACAGGUUGGCUACCUGAAGAUGCAGCAAUGUCAGGAAAACGGUUAUUUUUUUGUUGCCACUACCACUGCCAUAUUGUAGGCACAAUAGUGUAUCUAACCCAUUCAGGAAUAGUCUCCAGUGGACCUACAGAGGGGAGAUGUUGUGCUACUAUGAGUCCAAAUUUUAUGAGCAGAUGAUCCAUCCGUGACGAUGAGCUUAUCACCUGCUCUCUAUCAACAGAUUCUCACCAAAGCCACUGUGCUGCAAACAUUAGAUAUGAGUGUUGCACUAUAUUCGUCCGAUUUAAUGACUAAGAUGUUACUGUUUAUGCCGCAUUGAUAAGUAAGAAAAUAAGGACAGACAUUGCAUUACAACCCCAUACGUCAAAAUAAAACCUAAUGUAUUUUCCA